rnacentral:tRNA from 1 species
GACAUGAUAGCUCAGUGGUCAGAGCACCAGUCUAGAGUACUGUGUGGUCGCUGGUUCAAUCCCAGCUUGUGUCA